CAGUGUCAGAGGAAGACACUGCAGCUGCUGAGUCCACAGCAGAGUAUGCUACAGUGACAAGAAACAGGAAGAAGAAAGAUGAAGCAGCAUCCUCUUCCAGACAGAUUUACUACACUUUGGGCCAGACUGACACUCAACUACAAGAACUGGGAACAUCCGGCGUUACGGUCAGAUCGGCUCCCUCAUCGGGUACCGUCCAGGUUUCAUCAGAGGAUUCCUUCUAUUCUACAAUACGC